ACCAUUCGUUCUUGGUUUCUUGCAAUGUGAGAUCUGUCAAAAAGGAGUGUGUUCUGAUCGUUAAGGUAAGAUUAUCCUUCGGAUGUGGUGAUGCAGAACCACAUGAGGUACAGCUGACAGAUUAAUGCAGUCUAGGAUUUAGGAGAUACAAUCCCGUCGCUAAUCAUGGUCGUUCAGAGUCUCUUCAGGAAUUAGGCAAAGGGACGGUAAAAGGCUUUGUGGCCGUACAAAGAUGUAUGUUCACCUGAAAUACUACACAGAAAAAAAGGUGCCAUACAAGAUCCCAUCAUCAGUAGGACUUGUUAAAU